GGGAGCAGGAGGGUUGCUGACAGUGCAAGACACUGAGGAAAGUCCCCUCUCCACGACGCAAGUGGCUCGGUUUACGCCGAGGAUCCGAGAGGGUCGGCCAUGUAGAAGAAACGAACCGUGGCAGGUGUGUGCUAUGAAUCCGAAAGGAGGAGGUCGCCUGUUUACGGAUGGAACGAACAACCCCACUGGAGCAAGUCCAAACAGUCCCGUCGACGAGCGUCGCCGAGGGACGGGUCGGAUGCUAAGUUGAAUGCAACCAGCCUAAUGGUGAACAAAAAGGGGCUUACUCCCUGCACCC
rnacentral:RNase_P_RNA from 10 species